rnacentral:pre_miRNA from 1 species
UCCUUCAGUGUUGAAACAAUCUCUACUGAACAAGGCUUCAAAGUAAUUCACUGGAGUUUGUUUCAAUAUUGCAGGAC